UUUCUAUACUUAUAUACAUCUCAAAACCUUAUUAGAUUGACAAAUUCUAAGGUUGGUGAGGCCUGAGGCUGACAUGAGAAACUCAAUUUCUCAGACAACCUGUUGCAUAUUUUUCUUCCUUGUUCUCUUGUUCCUUCACCUCCAUAAUGUUGAAGGAAUAAUUCGCCCUGCAGGGGCACCAGAAGGAUCUUCAGCAACUGGCCAACAUGACAUCCAUGACCAAGGAGAAGAGUUUGGGGUAGACUAUACUCCUCCAAGUACACAUCCUCCAGUCC